GCGGGGCCCGGCCGCAGGCGGAGGCGGCGGGGGAAGGGGAGCGGGGCCGCGGGGGGCGGGCGCACCGGGCCGGGCGCGGCGGGGGGCGCGGGGAGCCGCGCCUGGAAGAGCACAUUGUGGAGGGCCGGGGAGGGCCCUUCCUCCCGGAGGAAGAGACAAUGUCCAGGGCCGGGCGCCUGCUGGAGAGCCGCGAGAAUGCACGGCCGGAGGCACGGCUCGGUACGGCACGGAACGGAUCGACGAUUCUCCCUCUCGCACCGUGGGAGCAGAAGAGGACCCCGCUCUGCCAGCAGCAGCAGCACUCAGCGCCGCAGCCUCUGCCUGAACACUGGAUCUCAGCUGCUGUUAAACCAGCCCCUCUUCAAGCCAGCUCCGUGACAGCAAAGCUGCCCACCACGCUCAGCCGUGCCCCCAGCACAGCCCCGUUCAGGGCACCAUGCCACCGGGUCCCCGGGAGGGAUGGGGAUGCUGCACCCUGGCUCCAGACGGGCAGUGUGGGGUGUCCUGGUAUCCCCCAGGACUGGUACCCGCUCCCAGACAAGGCCCUGAGGGCAGCAGGGCGGUGACCUCCCACCCGCCCAGCUGUGGAUAGCAUGGCCUCGAUGGGUGCCAGCACCUUGGCACACCCCUCCCCAGCCCAUCUCAUGUCUCUCGCUGUUUAAUGGUUACGAAGGAAAUUUUUAUGAAAUAAACCAAGUGUAACAGAUUCAGCGGCGGAGCCUGCGGUAGGCUGGUGCCAGAGCCGAGGAUGGGAACUGCCACUGCCACGUUGGUGUUUAUGGCUUGUUAGUGCGGAUGUCCAAUUAUGAUGUUAUCUACUCCCGAGUUAACGACUUCACUGCUAGGGAAAGCAAGGGAGGAGGGGUGGCUCAGGAAGAUCCAAGGAGGCCAGAGGUGGGAGGUGAAAAUGGGUAUCGCACAGUAUUGCAUUUCCAUCUCUUCGGGGCUGAUCCAUGGAGCCAGAAGCUGAAGGGUGAGAGUGGCUGGGGGGCCUCCCGCAGGAAGCAGCCGGCCGGGAGGGCAGCGGGCUGUGAGCCCCCAGCUGCAGGGCCUUCUCUGCUCCCUUCCAGCUCAAUGGCUGCUGCUCCUCCCUGAAGCUAAAAUAAAAUCCUGACCAUUUAAGGUGAA